AUUGGGGGAAGGGGGUUGAGAGGUAUUCACGUUCUUUUUGCUGAUGUCAUUGGGAGAGUCCAGGCCUCUCGAACGCCAGUCAUUCAAUAAAUCAGAGUUCAUAUAUUUGGAAGCUCAUUUCCCAUUGUGUCACUUAAUUCGAGAUCAAUAUCAAUUUUUCAUUUUUGCGAACCAUGUAUAAUUGUUGGUUUGGUUUAGGUUCCUAACAAUUUUGGUUCAGAGCAGUUCGACUGGGAAUCAAAAGAAUGACUCUCACAGGUCGAGUGGGGACGCUGGAAGCUAGAAUAGAAGGGAUCCAAGGUGAACUUCGGGAAGGGAUGAGUAACAUGAAAUUUGAAUUGCAGAAGCAUAUGGUGGAGAUGAGGGGUAAAUUCAAAGCGAUGUUGAGGAAAUGGGAUGCUAGUGAAGCGAUGAGGAAGGAAAAGGCGAUACUAGAGAAUUCAUCCAGCUUUAUCGGAGUUUCUGAGGAGGCACCCAAAUCGAUGGCCGAGAAAGUAAGCUUCCAAGGCAGAAAUAGAAGCAGCGAGCCUUGGAAGGUGGAUUCUCGAAAUCGAAAAUUGGAGAUGUCGAUUUUUUAUGGUGAUAGCCCGGAUGGUUGGAUUUUCAGGGCUAAGCGAUACUUUAGUAUGAAUCACUUGACGAAUGGAGAGAAGGUUGAAGUGGUCGCCGUGUGUUCGAGGGAGAAGCUUUAGCUUGGUUCCAGUGGGAGGACAGCCGAAGAUCUGUUAAGAGUUGGGAGGAAUUAAAAC
rnacentral:lncRNA from 1 species